UUUCCUACGGGGGGCAGCAGUGGGGAAUAUUGGGCAAUGGGGGAAACCCUGACCCAGCGACGCCGCGUGAGGGAAGAAGGUUUUCGGAUUGUAAACCUCUGUCCUUGGUGACGAUAAUGACGGUAGCCAAGGAGGAAGCCACGGCUAACUACGUGCCAGCAGCCGCGGUAAUACGUAGGUGGCAAGCGUUAUCCGGAUUUAUUGGGCGUAAAGCGAGCGCAGGCGGUUGCUUAGGUCUGAUGUGAAAGCCUUCGGCUUAACCG
rnacentral:rRNA from 1 species